CUUAACUCCCCCUGUUGUCGUCCGUUGCCCUCCCGACGACGUCGGCCGCGUCGACGGCCGGCGUCGACCUUAAUACAUGACAAGUAGAACGCUAGAAGAGAGGAGUCGUUGCUCUUUCGUUAGGUAUGUAGUUGACGGAACGGGUGAAGUAACCGCGGUAACGGUUAACCNCGCCUUUGUAGGCGGGGGAAUAAACUUGUUAGGAAACGAUAGACUUAAAUACCCGCAAUAAACAAGUGGAUGACACAUUGCUAUUUUNUUUAGGAAGGGACUAAUUGCCUCCACUAACAAGAGUCGGACCUGUCGUUGUUAUUAGCUAGGUAGGUGAAGGUAACGGCUCCACCGUAGGCGACGAUACAUACGCCCGACCUGAGGAGGGUGAGUCCGGCCACACGUGGACUGAGACGACCGCCCGAGGCCUCCGUACGGGAGCAGCAGGUAGGAUUCGUCGACAGUGGGGCAACCCUGACCGAGCAACGCCGCGUGAGUGAAGUAAGGUUUUCGGAUCGUAAAGCUCUGUUGUAAGUCAAGAACGAGUGUGAGAGUGGAAAGUUCA
rnacentral:rRNA from 1 species